UGAGAAUGUAGGUUUGAUCCCUGGCCUCACUCAGUGAGUUAAGGAUCUGGCAUUGCCUUGAGCUGUGGAGCUGUGGUAUAGGUUGCUGAUGUGGAUUGGAUCCCAUGUUACUGUGGCUGUGGUGUGUGUAGGCCACAGCUCUGAUUUGACCCUAAGCCUGGGAACUUACAUAUGCUGGGGGUGGGGAGGGGAAGCAAAACACAGUGAAGUGAGGUUAUAAUGAAAAAGAAUAACUCUUCAGUAGACCUAAUGCCUAGCCCUGACUCUGUCCUUAGCCAACUAGGUGAUUUUGAGAAUAUAUAUGGCCUGAUUUAUCUGUGAAAAAAGAGGGUAGGGGCAAGGUUAUUUAAAAAAAAUUCAAUUCCAAUUAUAAAUUAAUGUAAUUUUAGAACACAAGCUUGUGAAGUUGAUUAAGGAGGUAUUGUGUUUUUCAAAUGGGGGAAUUGAGGCAAACAAAGUCACUUAUUUAAACUCUCUUCUUUUGUAUGGGAUGAAACUCAUGGAUGGAGUUAAAUGAAAAACUCCUGACUCAUUCUAAACACAUGCCACUUUCUACUACUUCUUGGAAGAAAUAUUGAAUGCAAUAAAAUACUCAGCUGUGUGUAAGUGAUUUGAGUUCCGUGUAUUGCUUUUUCUUUUUGUGCCUAAGUAUAUAUCAGUAAUUAUCCUAAUUUGAUUUGCUGCCAUUUGAAUAAAAUGGAAAAAACCAGCACUUGUCUUAGUUUCCAACUGACUUCAUUUUUUCCUGCUAGCAGAUUUUCUGUCUAGUUAUGUCUCAGAUGGAAUGACUUGACAGAUUCCUUUUAAGUUAAAAUCAUUGACUCAAUUAUGGAAUAUCCUCUUUGUGCAUAAUGAUAUUGUGAGACAUCCUGAAGGAGGACAGACAUGAUGUCUUCCCCAAAUGAUCUCAUUAUCUAGUUUAGGAGAUGAAAUAAACUGAUGGGAAACAAACAGAGAGUGACACACUUUUGGUGUAGCAUCCGGGUUUGGCGAUCCCUUCUACUAAACUGUAUUCUGUGUAGAUAUUAAACAUAACCCUUUCUUAUAAUGUAUCUAAUUCUCCUAGUUCAUUGUUUUUGUGGAGAAAGGCACUGAACCACAUUUUGGGGUGGAAGCAUCUAGAGAUGAUUAUAGCUUUCUUUCUUUUGAAUCAUUGUUAUUGUGGUAAAAUACACAUAACAUACUAUUUAUCAUUUUGACCAUUCAUACGUGUAGAAAUUUGAUGGCAUUACAUACAUUCAUAAUGUUUUGUAACCAUCAUCACUGUGUGUACUCAAAACUUUCUAUCAUCCCCAACAUAAAUUCUGUACCCAUUAAAAAAUAACUCCCUAUUCUUUUUCUACUUUCUGUCUUUAUGAAUUUGUCUAUUCUAGGUACUUCAUAUACGAGGAAUCAUACAAUAUUUGCACUUUUAUGUCUUGCCUAUUUUACUAAGUUGUAUUUUCAAGGGUCAAAACGUCAUUCCUUUUUGUGCUUGAAAGAUAUUCCACUGUACGUAUAUACUACAUUGAUUUAUCCAUUCAUCUGUUAAUUGAUAUGAGUUGUUACUACCUUUUGGCUAUUGUGAAUAACUCUGCCAUGAACUCCAGUGUUCACAUAUCUGUUUGAGUUUCUACUUUUAAUUAUUUUGGAUGUAUACCUCGGGGUGGAAUUUCUGGGUCAUGUAGUUUUAUGUUUAACCUUUGGGAAACCACUAAACUUUUUUCCAAGUGGCUACACCAUUUUACAUUCCUACUAGCAAUGUAUGAAGAUAGCAGUUUCUAAGCAUCCUCACUAACACUUCUUUCAUUGUAGCCUUCAUAGUAGAUGUGAAGUGGUACCUCAUUUUGGUUUUUACAUUUCCUUAAUGAUUAGUGAUGUUUAUCGUAUGCUUAUCAAAGCUUUCUUUUAUAAAAUAUAUACUAAAGCAUAGUUUGUGUCUAUGUUUUAUAGAUGAAUUACUUGAUAACCUUUACACACACCCUUGAUGUCAAUAUCUGUUCUUUCCCAGGGCUUGGACAAUUAUAUCUGGAGGUGACAAGUCGAGACUCCCUGUUUUUUUGUAUGUUUUUGUUUUGUUUUUGUCUUUGUCCUUUAAAAUAAAUCUUCCAUAUAUUUAACUUCCUUUUUGACAGUAAUAUACUGUAUUUUUAAAAAGGAAACCAUUGUAGCAGCUGUUGAAAGCAAACAAAGAUACAUGAAAUGGUUUUAAAGUUGUUAUAGUAAUGAUGAUUAGGGAGAAGGGUGUUGAGCAAAGAUCAAUUUAAUCCAAAUGACUAUUAACUUGUCACUUUUAUAUUUAUAAAACAAC
rnacentral:lncRNA from 1 species